AACGAACGCUGGCGGCAUGCCUAACACAUGCAAGUCGAACGAGACCUUCUGGUCUAUUGGCGCACUGGUGCGUAACGCGUGGGAUCCUUCCCUUAUGUUCGGAAUAACUCCCCGAAAGGGGUGCUAAUACCGGAUAAUGUCUUCUGACCAAAGAUUUAUCGCCUUUGGAUGGGCCCGCGUUGGAUUUGCUAGUUGGUAGGGUAAAAGCCUACCAAGGCGACGAUCCAUAGCUGGUCUGAGAGGAUGAUCAGCCACACUGGGACUGAGACACGGCCCAGACUCCUACGGGAGGCAGCAGAGGGGAAUAUUGGACAAGGGGCGAAAGCCUGAUCAAGCAAUGCCGCGUGAGAGAUGAAGGGCGUAGGGUAGUAAAGCUCUUUUACACGGGAUGAUAAUGACAGUACCGGGAGAAUAAGCUCCGGCUAACUACGUG
rnacentral:rRNA from 1 species